AUCAACUUAAUUUUGUUGACCUAUUAAAAAGCCAAAAGUUUAAGGCCCAAACCAACUUAAAAGGCCCAUUUUUUUUCUAAGUCCUAACCCUAUCAACCUUCCCUUUGAUAGCCACACCACACCAGCAAGGGAGAAGAAUCUGUGCAGCCAGACGAAGAAGUGCUCCAGUAGCACAGGUGCAGAUGAGGUGUUUCCUCCAAGGCAAAAGCAUGGAUGGAUUUCAGGAAGCAAGAGCUUCUUAUCUAUGUCUUGUUGUGUUAAUAUUGAUUAUUUGUAUAGCCAAGGGCUUAAGAUGUAAUGAGCGGGACUCAAUUUGUGUAACCAAGCAAUGACUUGGAAAGAUGUAAACCUAUAUGGCAUUUAAUUGUUUGUUAAAUUAUAAACUGUGAUGUAUGAAAGUAUGUUAUUACUCAUAUUUAUUCCGCA